CACCACCCUCUGCAGCUGGAGCAGGUGUGGCCUGACCUAACAUGCUGAGGCCUGUUGGUCAGAAAUUCCAUAAUCCAGUUGCAGAGGGAGGGGUUAAUGCCCAGGUCUCCAAGU